UUCCAAUCAAUGAAAUGGCAUGAAAUUCUCACUGGACAAUCGAUAAAGAUAGCAGAUUCUUAAGCACCAGUCGAAAUAUAGUUGGCGCCACCAAGGGGCGUUGGAUUCAAAAAGUCCUGUUUACUUUGGAAAACGUCUUGAAAUACGACACCUAUCAAAUCGCUGAAACUGUGUUGCGACAAACCUAAUUUUAGCGUUAAGUAUACCGGCGUCCGAGCAGGAAUCAGCGCGAAAACGUAGUGAAAAUGGCCUGAAAACCAAAAAGUAAAGCUACGCGACUGUGGAGUCUGCAGUACCAACAGGUGUAGGAAAAAGGACAACACCCGGAAUGAGGAAGAAAAUCCUAUGGGAAGCUGGAAAAUACUAUUUCGAUUGCCAAAAUGCACGGAUGUCAACAACCACCAUUUACCAACCCUAGAGAAAAUGGGACCAGGAAUAGUCUUUUUAAACAAAUUUAAUGCCGAUAUUUUUAUUAACAACGACUCUGCAACAGUAAACGAACAUUUAUUAUUAAGUACACUAACGCAAAGCAAUUUAUUAUUACAAAGAAACGAUAUCAAGCAAACCAUUACAGACAACGUACAACCUUCAUCUACACCAAUCAAUAUAGAAGAAUUCCUCUCGCUAAAGAUGCUGAAGUAGCUACCAAUACAAAAGAAGUAAGCUUGUUAGAAAUAGCAAAUAGAGCGAAACAUACACUCAGCAUCACCUUAAUUAUUAUGCUAAUUGUGAUCAUCAGAAAUUACCUUAUAAAAACCACAGAAAAUUUAUCAAUUAAACUAUCAUCAUACCAUUCAAAGUAAUAUAAUACGACACCAAACAAAUAGCUGAAACUGCGUUAUGCGCAGAACAAAACUGUGGAAAGUGCAAGGUCAGCGAAUUCCAUCGUUGCAGCGGCAAACGUAGCUUUAACUUUAAGUAUAAUUAAUUGCAGCUUUUAGUUCUAAUUCGGAAUUCCUUCGGAUCUGCGUGGUCAGUUUAGCCAUGGCCGUGCGUCUGUUUGUAUAUACGCAAACUAAUCCCUCAGCUUAUUUUUCACAAGUUCUUUUCUUCUCAAGAUGUUGCUCAUUUUCCGGAACCGCCGAUAUUUUGAGAUCGGACCAUUUAGCGCCUAGCUGCCACAUAAAACGACCAACCGAUCAAAAUAAAAUUUUUGUGUGGAAUUUGUGAAGGACAUUAUAGCUUUUCUUCCUUUUACUAGCGACUGAAAUAAUCUCAAUAUUCUCGUUUACUUUCAUUGAGACAUUUUGUAUUGAGAUAAAAUAUUAUAGGGCUAAACCAACGACUAGAUAUAUUACAUGCUAUAUAUCAAUAUAUACGGUGAAGUUAAAAAAUGGAAAUCACUACAUUGGAAAUAUCGGAGUUAGGAGAAGACAUUUGGCACUAAACCAAAAUACACUCGAGAAUGCGUUUCCACGCAAGGGCUAUGGUAAUUCAUGGAACAAUUUCCCUUAUUUUCGCCACCAUGUAUCUUGAUGAAACUUGUUAUACAUACUUGAAAAGGCUGAUAUUGCAAAAGGGUGGAAUCGGAUCAUUACCACGCUCACAAAACGUCAUUAAUCGAAAACCUACAAAGAUCCGCAAUAAGAUACAAAAAAAAAAACUUAAAACGUUAAAACUUUUGAGAACUUUUAAGAAAGUAAGCGAGGUUUAAUCCAUUAAUAAGUUUAAUGUCCAUAUCUUCGAAACCUCUAAAGCUCUAUAAACCAAAUUUCGCUUAAGACAAAUCUUUUCGGCACCUCCUAGGACAGAAGAAAAAUAAAUUAUAAUCCUGCCAGUAAGUUGUGCCUUGUUGCUAGGUCAACACAACCAA